UACGUAGGUGGCGAGCGUUGUCCGGAUUUACUGGGCGUAAAGAGCUCGUAGGCGGUUUGUCGCGUCUGCCGUGAAAGUCCGGGGCUCAACUCCGGAUCUGCGGUGGGUACGGGCAGACUAGAGUGAUGUAGGGGAGACUGGAAUUCCUGGUGUAGCGGUGAAAUGCGCAGAUAUCAGGAGGAACACCGAUGGCGAAGGCAGGUCUCUGGGCAUUAACUGACGCUGAGGAGCGAAAGCAUGGGGAGCGAACAGG
rnacentral:rRNA from 1 species